CACGAGAGGUUGCUGCCCAUAUUCCUUUUGAAGUUGUCGAACGAGUCUAUCCACCUGUACCGGAACAGCUCCAGCUCCGUAUAGCAUUCUGGAGUUUUCCAGAAAAUGAAGAAGAUAUAAGAUUAUAUUCGUGUCUGGCAAAUGGAAGUGCUGAUGAAUUUCAAAGAGGGGAGCACCUUUUCAAAUCAAGAGCCGUGAAGGAAUUAUUGCAGAUAGGUUUUCAUUUAAGUGCCGUGGUUUUCCCAUCUCAAAAUCUAAGCAUUCCUAAGGGAUCUUGUAGCGUUGCUGUAACAUUUGAUCGUUGCCGAAUCACCUCCUGUACCUGCACGUGUAACAGUACUGCAUCAUGGUGUUCACAUGUUGUUGCUGUUUGUUUACAAAGAAUACAUCAGCCUAAUCAAGUACGUCUCCGAGCGCCUGUGUCAGAAUCCCUCUCUCGUCUUCACAGAGAACAACUUCAAAAGUUUGCCCAAUACUUAAUUAGUGAACUUCCUCAACAGGUAU